UGUGGGGCACAGUGUGCUCUGUCCUUUUUGCAGUCUUGGAACCCUCCUGUGAACAGCUGAUGUUCACACAGGCAGACAUUCUUCUGUGUGAGGUCAGGACUGAACAUCAGCUCUGCCUGGCAGGAUGGUGAGCAUACAGGAUGCAAUGAUCCAGAGGAUGGGAGCCAGCACCAAGGAUGCCAGAGGUGAAAGACAGAAACCAUUUAAACCCACAUGAUUCUACUGUGCUGCCAGCUAGCCGAAGCCUGCUGCUCAUCAGACCUCCCUGUGGAGAAGCCCAAGCAUGCAAGCAUCACCACUGGAUACAUUUCCUAAUAACUACAGAUACUCCGGGAGCCCAUGGAGCAUGCCAGUGUUGGAGGAGCUUUGGUCAUAACAAGAAACGGUUAUGGACAUCUCCCAAGUUGUCAGGUGGAGCAGCACGAACAUCUGCCUUUCCCCUUCUCAGUGUGCAAAGAGCCUGAGCGUGGGUGCUAGACAAGCCUACAUUUAAAUUCCAGCUUAGCUCUUUGCUGCUCGUGCAGCUUAGCGAAGUUUUGCUUCUGUGUCUCAUUUCU